AAAUUGAAGAGUUUGAUCAUGGCUCAGAUUGAACGCUGGCGGCAGGCCUAACACAUGCAAGUCGAACGGUAACAGGAAGCAGCUUGCUGCUUUGCUGACGAGUGGCGGACGGGUGAGUAAUGUCUGGGAAACUGCCUGAUGGAGGGGGAUAACUACUGGAAACGGUAGCUAAUACCGCAUAACGUCGCAAGACCAAAGAGGGGGACCUUAGGGCCUCUUGCCAUCGGAUGUGCCCAGAUGGGAUUAGCUAGUAGGUGGGGUAACG
rnacentral:rRNA from 1 species